GAUGAACGCUGGCGGCGUGCCUAAUACAUGCAAGUCGAGCGAACGGACGAGAAGCUUGCUUCUCUGAUGUUAGCGGCGGACGGGUGAGUAACACGUGGAUAACCUACCUAUAAGACUGGGAUAACUUCGGGAAACCGGAGCUAAUACCGGAUAAUAUUUUGAACCGCAUGGUUCAAAAGUGAAAGACGGUCUUGCUGUCACUUAUAGAUGGAUCCGCGCUGCAUUAGCUAGUUGGUAAGGUAACGGCUUACCAAGGCAACGAUGCAUAGCCGACCUGAGAGGGUGAUCGGCCACACUGGAACUGAGACACGGUCCAGACUCCUACGGGAGGCAGCAGUAGGGAAUCUUCCGCAAUGGGCGAAAGCCUGACGGAGCAACGCCGCGUGAGUGAUGAAGGUCUUCGGAUCGUAAAACUCUGUUAUUAGGGAAGAACAUAUGUGUAAGUAACUGUGCACAUCUUGACGGUACCUAAUCAGAAAGCCACGGCUAACUACGUGCCAGCAGCCGCGGUAAUACGUAGGUGGCAAGCGUUAUCCGGAAUUAUUGGGCGUAAAGCGCGCGUAGGCGGUUUUUUAAGUCUGAUGUGAAAGCCCACGGCUCAACCGUGGAGGGUCAUUGGAAACUGGAAAACUUGAGUGCAGAAGAGGAAAGUGGAAUUCCAUGUGUAGCGGUGAAAUGCGCAGAGAUAUGGAGGAACACCAGUGGCGAAGGCGACUUUCUGGUCUGUAACUGACGCUGAUGUGCGAAAGCGUGGGGAUCAAACAGGGUUAGAUACCCUGGUAGUCCACGCCGUAAACGAUGAGUGCUAAGUGUUAGGGGGUUUCCGCCCCUUAGUGCUGCAGCUAACGCAUUAAGCACUCCGCCUGGGGAGUACGACCGCAAGGUUGAAACUCAAAGGAAUUGACGGGGACCCGCACAAGCGGUGGAGCAUGUGGUUUAAUUCGAAGCAACGCGAAGAACCUUACCAAAUCUUGACAUCCUUUGACAACUCUAGAGAUAGAGCCUUCCCCUUCGGGGGACAAAGUGACAGGUGGUGCAUGGUUGUCGUCAGCUCGUGUCGUGAGAUGUUGGGUUAAGUCCCGCAACGAGCGCAACCCUUAAGCUUAGUUGCCAUCAUUAAGUUGGGCACUCUAAGUUGACUGCCGGUGACAAACCGGAGGAAGGUGGGGAUGACGUCAAAUCAUCAUGCCCCUUAUGAUUUGGGCUACACACGUGCUACAAUGGACAAUACAAAGGGCAGCGAAACCGCGAGGUCAAGCAAAUCCCAUAAAGUUGUUCUCAGUUCGGAUUGUAGUCUGCAACUCGACUACAUGAAGCUGGAAUCGCUAGUAAUCGUAGAUCAGCAUGCUACGGUGAAUACGUUCCCGGGUCU
rnacentral:rRNA from 1 species